AGCGCACAGUAGCAUGGAGAUUUGUACUACAGCAGUCUGGGGAAUCCAUUUGGAGAAAGACAGCUAUUCAUGUAGUAGUCCCCUACCCAUAUGGGCGACUGCUGACGCCAUGUCUAUCCUUGCUGCAGCAACUAAAGAGUAUCCGGUAACUUUAUCAAGAAUGGGGCUCUGAGUCAACAUUUGACUUUUUGAUGAUCUACACCCGGUGCUGACUUCAUCCAAAACCUCCUGGUAGACGGAUGCGUCGACCCUGGACUUAAUGAAGCACAGUGGACCAACACCAGCAGGUAUACUUUAAACUCUAUAUACGAGGCCGGAAGAAGCGCGAGCUGCGCAAAACUUUGCCGGCAGCCGCCUCCACUCUGAUCGCCUUGCUGUCAGUCUGAAGUCGGAUCUGUCCAAGAUGCCAUAGAAGUUGGUCUGCUGUUUCC